CCUCCUUUCUUCCGCCGUCGGGAAUCUUCGUCAAUGGGCGCAAGCCUGAACGAGCGAUGCCGCGUGAGUGAAGAAGGCCUUCGGGUCGUAAAGCUCUAUUGCGGGGGAAAAAAGGCAGCAUCAGGAAAUGGGUGCUGACUGAUGGUGCCCCGCCAGAAAGUCACGGCUAACUACGUGCCAGCAGCCGCGGUAAUACGUAGGUGGCGAGCGUUAUCCGGAAGGAUUGGGCGUAAAGGGUGCGCAGGCGGUCCUGCAAGUCUGGAGUGAAACGCAUGAGCUCAACUCAUGCAUGGCUUUGGAAACUGGAGGACUGGAGAGCAGGAGAGGGCGGUGGAACUCCAUGUGUAGCGGUAAAAUGCGUAGAUAUAUGGAAGAACACCAGUGGCGAAGGCGGCCGCCUGGCCUGUUGCUGACGCUGAGGCACGAAAGCGUGGGGAGCAAAUAGGAUUAGAUACCCGUGUAGUC
rnacentral:rRNA from 1 species